rnacentral:lncRNA from 1 species
UGGCGAGGGCAUCCGCGCAGGAGGCGGGGGAGAGCAUUUGGCAGAGAGCCUCAAGGGGCUUGACGAGGCCGCCGAGGACGAAGCGAGCAAAGUGGGAGAAGACGCUGUGGGGCUUGUCGAAACCGCCGCCGGGCGCCGAGGGGGAGGGGUCGUCCGAGAUGACGCAGUCGACGCGGACAACGACGUCAUCGACGAGGGGGGCUAGGUCGUGGAAACGGCGGUACACGGCGCAGCACCGCCCCAAGGUCUUGACAUCGCCAAUCCGGUUAAAGAUCACAAGCAACACCGAGUCCGGCAACCGGUCGAAAUGGUCAAUCCCCUCCUCCUCCACUGCCGGAUCCCAGCGGAGCGGCC